AGCGAACGCUGGCGGCAGGCCUAAUACAUGCAAGUCGAGCGCCCCUUCGGGGGAGCGGCGGACGGGUGAGUAACGCGUGGGAAUAUGCCCUUUGGUACGGAACAACUGAGGGAAACUUCAGCUAAUACCGUAUGUGCCCUUCGGGGGAAAGAUUUAUCGCCAUUGGAGUAGCCCGCGUUGGAUUAGCUAGUUGGUGGGGUAAAGGCCCACCAAGGCGACGAUCCAUAGCUGGUCUGAGAGGAUGAUCAGCCACACUGGGACUGAGACACGGCCCAGACUCCUACGGGAGGCAGCAGUAGGGAAUCUUGCGCAAUGGGCGAAAGCCUGACGCAGCCAUGCCGCGUGAAUGAUGAAGGUCUUAGGAUUGUAAAAUUCUUUCACCGGGGAAGAUAAUGACGGUACCCGGAGAGGAAGCCCCGGCUAACUUCGUGCCAGCAGCCGCCGUAAAAC
rnacentral:rRNA from 1 species